rnacentral:tRNA from 24 species
GGGGAUAUGGCGAAAUUGGUAGACGCUACGGACUAAAAUCCGUCGACUUUUAAAAUCGUGAGGGUUCAAGUCCCUCUAUCCCCA